AGGACAAACGCUGGCGGCGUGCAUAAACAUGCAAGUCGGACGAGCCAAUCCCCGCAAGGGGAAAGGCUAGUGGCGAACGGCUGAGUAACACGUAGGUGAUCUGCCCUGAAGUGGGGGAUAACGACUCGAAAGAGUCGCUAAUACCGCAUGUGACCACCGAUCCGUUUUCGGUGCUCAAAGUCGUAAGACGCUUUAGGAGGAGCCUGCGGCGGAUUAGCUAGUUGGUGAGGUAAUGGCCCACCAAGGCUUCGAUCCGUAGCUGGUCUGAGAGGAUGGCCAGCCAGACUGGGACUGAGACACGGCCCAGACUCCUACGGGAGGCAGCAGUUAGGAAUUUGCGCAAUGGGGGAAACCCUGACGCAGCCACGCCGCGUGCGGAUGAAGGCCUUCGGGUCGUAAACCGCCUUUCUCGAGGAAGACACCCGACGGUACUCGAGGCAUAAGCAACGGCUAACUACGUGCCAGCAGCCGC
rnacentral:rRNA from 1 species